rnacentral:tRNA from 1 species
GGGGUUGUGGCUCGGUGGUAGAGUGCUUGCCUCGCAUGUAAGAGACCCUGGGUUUGAUCCUUAGCACCA